UAUAAUAUUGAAGUUGUUACAAAUGAUUGUUAAGUACAGUACUCAGUUAAGUUGGCUUGACAACUCGAGAGGGAUUUGUUUCUUUGUGCUGAGAGAAACAGAACAGCUUUCACCUGUAAUUCUGUACUUUGGGAGGCCAAGGCAGGGGAGAUCACUUGAGGCCAGGAGUUUGAGAUCAACCUGAGCAACAUAGUGAGACCCUCUUCUCUACAAAAAAAAAAAAGAAAAAAAAAAUUACCUGGGUUUGGUGUUAUGCACCUACAGUCUUAGCUACUUGGGAGGCUGAGGUGGGAGGAUCACUUGAGCCCAGGGCUUUGAUGCUGUAGUGAGCUACGAUUGCACCACUGCAUUCCAGCCUGAGCAACAGAGUGAGACCCUGUCCCUAAAAAAAGUACUUGACUUGGAGUCAGAAAACCUGGAUCCAAGGCUCCACUCUUCUACUCACUAGCUGGGUGAGAUGGGCUUCACUUGAACCAUCUCAAUGUGCCCAUCUGGGUGUCUGAAAAUUGUAUCCUGAAUAAAGCUUUAUACUCAACUUUACACGGGGGGCCCAAAAUCAUCACUGUUAUGAGAGGAGAAUUUGGGGAAAAGCAUCAGUUCUGCAGGAAAUUUACUGUGUCAGUCAGGGCUCUAAGUUAGAAACAAUAGACUUUGAUUCUGGGUGACUAAGCAGAAAAAGCAUUUGUCAAAAGUAUAUAGAGUAACUUCCAGAAUUUUUGGGAGGGCUGCAGUGCCAAGCCAGAGGUAAUCUACAUCCCAAAUGCUGAAUCAGAGCUGGUUUUUAGCUUCCACCAAGGUAUAGAUGCAAACAUUUGUACCACUUUGCACCAGAGAAUCAUUUAGCCCAACCAAUGCUGACAAUACUCCCCACCUGCCACCCUGCUCCCAAUCCUUGUGUCAAGGACUGAACCUAGUAGCCACUGCCCUCUGCUGCCACUGCAUGAUAGAGAGGGAGGGAAGGAGGGGGAGAGAGAGAGAAAAAGAGAGAGAGACACUCCCCAUUUUUUCCUGAGUCAAGUCCAGUGUGGAUGGGUCUUUUUUUGCUGAAACUUUAGUUACAAAUUUGAUCCCAGUUAUAAAUAAUACUAGGAGAGCAAGUACCUAUCAUUUAUUUUUAGCUCUGAUAGCAAGUUCUUUAGAUAAAAAUGUGCCAAACAUAGAAGCAGCCAACAUGAAUGUCAAAUGUCCCCCAGCAGAAAGCAGCCAUGCUGAGACAACCACAAAAUGUAGGAAAGCGGAGAGAUUUGUGCCUAAGUGAAUAGAAAGUGUUCAGAAAAGGGAAUCAAGAAAAUCUCUUUUCUCUCUCUGGAGCGAGGCAACCCACGGAAUCGCCCAAAGCUGGAGGGAAUUCAAUCAUGGUGACAGAUGGGAGUUGCAGCUUUACAUCUGUUCUCAAGGUGGAAAGACUAUGCCGCAGAAGUUAAGCACCUGCCUGAGGUUCCUACAGUUUUCGUCUGAAAUAAGGAUCUGAGUCUGGGGUUGCUGCAACCACUUUGUUACAAUGCGGUAAUAAUGAAGUGACCAAAUCCAACAUUCAUCAGAAGGCAGAACAGAAUGUAAGAGUCCUUGAUGGCAUAUUUGAAAAGCUGCCAUAGCUCUGGAGGGUUUCAGUUCAGAUUUCUUGUUAUGUGAAAAAUAAACAUUUAGGUCAGAGCUUCUGUAAAUCAAGUUUUUGUUAGUUAUAGAUGAAUGCAAUCCUUACUGAUCUAGAUGGCAUCUUUAGUCCUUGAAAUUAGUAAAGUAUUGAAGACUGAAAUCGAAGCUAGCAAUAAUCAUUGUACAAUGCAUGGAAAUAACCUGCCAAAGCAGCACAUUUAAGAGACUUAUUGCAAAAUGUGUUUAUAAUGAGAGAAUAGCAUGUUUCCAAAUAAUUGCACCAGGAAGGUCUUAAUCUAAAGCACAAGUAGCGUACACUAAGUUUUUGAGAAUUAUGACGUGAAAUAAAGAUGUCCUAUAGUUGAUCGAUGAAGAAUGUCUAAUCUGGAGAGUAAAACAUUUGUGAAUCCACCAUUGUUCAGGGGAAGAGGGACUUUAGUUUUAAACACCAAUACUAGUUAUACAGGCAAAAAUACACAUAAAUGGAUAAAGAUAAAAUUUAUCUAGUUUCUUCCAGUCGUGGGCCUGUGAUUGGCAGCCUAGCCUCACUUGGGAAUUUGUAGAAAUGCAAAUUCUUGGGUCCUAUUACAGACCUACUGACUUGGAAAUGCUGGGAGUUGAUGUGAGGUAUUGAGAAUCAUUGCUUUAGGUUCAUUUUCAUACUUCAGAUGAAUUUCCCCAUGUUAGGCUAACCAAGACUGUUGACCCCAAAUUCUAGGGUGGUCCACAUCUUUCUGAUUUGUGAGUUGGCCUCCUGGUGAUCACCUCCAGAGGGAAUAUCCUGUGAUGGUAAAUUAAGAAGUUGGCAUUCUGCCUUUCGAAUCAACGUCAUGUAAGAUGUAGUCCCUUCUUCCCAAGGGCCCUAGGUGAACCACUAAUAUCAUGUUCCUAGAUUUGAGUUAAUCCUUUUUACCAAGGGGAACCUCAGUCUGAAGCAUUGGACCUCUCUUUAUUAAUCUUUUCAUAAUAAGAGCACUCUAAAUCAUGAUAAAGUUUAUUAUUUUUUUUAAUUUAAAAAGACUCUCCAAAGCUAAAAAAUCGGAUAUGCCACCAAUAAUCCAGAAUGUGAACAACCCAGCAUCAGCUAAUCAGCUACUUUUUUUCUUUGACACAGUCUCAUUCUCAUGCCCAGGCUGGAGUACAGUGGCACAAUCUUGGCUCACUGCAGCCUCAGCCUCCCAGGUUCAAAUGAUUCUCCUGCCUCAGCCUCCAAAGUAGCUGGGAGUACAGGUGCACACCUCUACGCCUGGCUAAUCUUUGUAUUUUUAGUAGAGAUGGGGUUUUACUAUGUUGGCUAGGCUGGUCUUGAACUCCUUACCUCAAGUGAUUUGCCCACCUCAGGCUCCCAAAGGGUUGGGAUUACAGGCAUAGCCACCGUGCCUGGCUAGUUAAUUACCUAUUGACUAUAUGUAGAUAAGAGGGACAAUAUAGCAAAUAGAUUUUUCUGGCUAGCUUAGAUGAUUUGCUGGCUUAAACACUUAAAAAAGUUGAGCUGUAUAGCUAAACUCAACACACGUUAAUAAAAAGAUUAAUAAUAUGCGGGGGACUUUGUUUACCUGUUUAUACUAAAAGCUAUUAAAAUUAAUGACUUAUUUUUUCCUCAUGAAAUAUCUUUAAGAUGAAUUAUUUCUACCUUUAAGUCUGAUUUGAUUUAUUCUGGCAGUGAAUGUCCUAAAUCUUCCCUGCUUCAUGACUACAUUGUAAUUCUUUAUCUCAGAAGAUAAAAGCAGGUGCAUACAAAAGAUGAAUUUGAGGGCCAGGCAAGGUGGUUCACGCCUGUAAUCCCAGCACUAUGGGAGGCCGAGGCAGGUGGAUCAUCUAGGUCAGGAAUUUGAGACCAGAUUGGCCAACAUGGAGAAACCUGUAUCUACUAACAAUAUAAAAAUUAACCAGGCAUGGUGGCGCGUUCCUGUAAUCCCAGCUACUCAGGAGGCUGAGGCAGGAGAAUUGCUUGAACCCAGGAAGCAGAGGUUGUGGUGAGCUGAGAUUACACCACUGCACUCCAGCCUGGGCCACAGAGCAAGACUCCGUUUCAAAAAAACAAAACAAAACAAAACAAAACAACAACAACAAAAAAGAAGAAUUUGAGGAUGGUACAGCUUCCAUUAGAAAAGCACUAAUGCUUGAGUGGGAAACACAUUCAGUAGAGGUUGGGGCAGCUUUUGUUUAAGAUGUUUGACUUUCAUAAGUAAAAGUAAUUUCUGAUUUUAUCGUGUUUUUUUUUCUGGUGUAUGUUUUUACCAGAAGACAUAUGUGGAUAUGUUAGUGUGGUGAGAUGUGUGGAAAUAAUAUAACCCAGCUAAAAAUAGAGUACAGUGAACGCUAAUUAAAUAUACAAUGAACCCUUAUUGUAACAUAAUCUGCUGUAAUAAGGUAUUUAAAAGAGCACAAGUCCACCUGGAUCUCUUUAACAGUGGCAUAGCUACGGAUACAUUACUAAAUUCUUUUUUAAAAAGUCUCAACACAGAAAUAAAGAAUAAAACAGUGAUAACCAGGAGCGGGAGAGGGAGAGGUACGCGGUUCAGAGGAUGCAAAGAAUGGACGAGUCUAGAGAACGAAUAUACAACAUGAGGUCUAUACUGAAUAAUAUUGAACUGUACUUGGGAUUUUCACCAAAAGAAUAGAUUUCAGGUGCUCUUGCCACCAAGCAAAAAUGGAUAACUAUGCGCAAUGACAGACACAUUAAUUUGCUUGACUAUAGUAACUUUUCACUGCCCGUAUGUACAGUCAUGCGCUGCAUAAUGAUGUUUCAGUCAGUGAUGGACUGAAAGUAUAAUCUUAUGAGACCAUACACAAAGUUGGUCUCAUAAGAUUAUAAUGGAGCUGAAAUAUUCCUAGAAAAAAAAAACUUUUCUACUUCCCACAGUAAUGUUGAAGCGCAACAAUUACUCACGUACUUGUGCUGCAAACAAGCGGGUGUAAAUAAACCUACUGUGCUGCCACUUGUAUAAAUGUAGAGCACAUAUAAUCAUGUACUAAUACUUGAUAAUGACAAUAAAUGACUAUGUCACUGAUCAGGUGUUAACUACACUGUACUUUUUAUGGUAAUUUUAGAGUGUCCUUCAUCUAGUUAUAUAAAAAAAAUUAACUGUAAACAGCCUCAGUCAGGACCUUCAGGAGAUAUCCAGAAGAAGGCAUUGCUAUCAUGGGAGAUGACACCCCCAUUCCUGUUAUUGCUCCUGAGGAUUUUCCAGUGGGACAAGAUGGGGAGGUGAAAGAGUGAUAGUGAUGAUCCUAGCCCUGAGUAGGCCCAGGCUAAUGUGUGUGCUUAUGUCUUAAUUUUUAAUAAGAAAGUUUAAAGAGUAAAAAAAGAAUUGAAAAAGUUGAAAAUAGAAAAAAGCUCA